AGUGUCAACUUGCUGGACGUCAUCUUCGAGAUGGUGUUCUUCAGGGAGCUUGAGGGGGCUCGUGCCAGGCUGGCCCCUGUGAGAUUUGUGCAACCUCGUCCUCCGCUGUCCAUCUAUUCAUUAAACACUCUCUGUCCUCCCUUCUAUAGCGGGUUCAGGGUGGGUUCCUGGAUCAUCUUGUGACAAUGAUCCAUGCCUUCCUGCCCUCCGAGGCGUGGCCACCUCAGGCUGUAUAAUGCUGGGGGCUGUUGCGGGCUGACCUGCUGGGUUUCCUGAAGGAGGUCUUCUCCCUGGAGCAGAGUGUGUACAGCCAACCACAGGACCUCUCAGAUGGGCUCUUCAACUGCCUGGAGCAGCGUGUGGAUGAGCCCCUGGGGUGGUUUUUGUUGCCCCCUGGUUAGGUGCUGCCCGUGGUCCUGACGCCGCUGGUCCUGACGCUGUCCGUGGUCCUGACGCUGCUGGUCCUGAUGCUGUCUGUGGUCCUGACGCCGCUGGUCCUGACGCUGCUGGCCCUGGCAGUGCUGCCUACUCCUCUGCUGGCACUCUGAGCUCUGCUCAGAUAAUAUGAAGCGCUCAUGCCAGUGCUACUCCCCAACUUAAACCUGCAGGGUUUUCCGGUGAUAGCCUGUUCUUGCUAGUGAUUCCAUCCUGUCAUUCUAAUGUGUUUUGACUGUUUGCUCUGGUAGGGGUCAGGAGACAGCAACCUGCUGUCUGAGUCCAUGCAGGUUCCCUCCCUCUAGUACAUUGGUUCCCAAAGACUGGGUCGCGACCCACAGGUGGUUUUUGUUGCCCCCUGGUUAGUGCCAUCCAGUAGGACCAUGAAAACGUGAGGACUUGGGAACACACAGCUGCCGACUUCUGUGGACCAGAUGCAUUUAGGAGUGGACAUAUUCAUGGAUUCAAGGAGUGGGGUAUGGAUGUAAGGUUUAGAAUAACAUACUGUAGGCUACACAUUUCAAACAUUCAAAUUGAGUGACCACUGGGCUAGAUCCUGGUAUAAAAAUAUGUUUAUUGAU